GAACCUGCGGAAGGAUCAUUACCGAACAAUAAAAAAAAAGUUGAGGAUGGUUGCUGGCUGAACAAGCAUGUGCACUCCUUGGCUUUGUAGGUUGAACCUACAUUUUUUUCACACUCCAUCGUAUGUAUUCCGAAUGUUGAUGUAUUAUUAAAACAAAAAGCACAACUUUCAACAAUGGAUCUCUUGGCUCUCGCAUCGAUGAAGAACGCAGCGAAAUGCGAUACGUAAUGUGAAUUGCAGAAUUCCGUGAAUCAUUGAAUCUUUGAACGCACCUUGCGCCCCUUGGCACUCUGAGGGGCAUGCCUGUUUGAGUGUCGUUGAAACCCUUCUCAACUUGACCUUUUCCAUUGGUCAGGCUUGGAUUUGGAGAGUGCCGGCAGGUUCGGCUCCUCUGAAAGUCAUUAGCGAACGACUCUAGUUUUGCGUCGCAGCAUUGAUAAGUCUCAUCUAUGCCUCGGCCACUUUAGCAGUUUGCUUAUAAACGCGAUCCUCGGAUCACUACUCCAACAAUCACU
rnacentral:rRNA from 1 species